rnacentral:lncRNA from 1 species
UAACUGCCUGCCCAGGACCCCACGUUACCACAGGGGUCCUGGCCAAUCACCAGGCAGCCUUUCACUGCCGUGCUUUUUCACACCAAACAGCUGUCCCUGCCCACUCUCCCUGGCCAAUCACCAGGUGGUUGUCCCUGCCUUUCUCUUUCUGACCAAUCACCAGGCUGCGUUCAGCUGUUAUCACAUCCUGUAGCCAAUCCCCAGGCAGAAUGGCUGUCCAAUCACCAGGCAGCUCUCUCCCAUGUCCUCCUGCCCUCCUCCACCAGUGGCCAUCUUGGACUCAUGAGCUGUUGGGCGGUGGCAGCUGCUGGUCUUUUCUGGGACAGAGCCUGGCAGCCUCUCCUCUGUGGCCCAGUCUUCCUUUCCCAGACUACAUGCCAGUGCUGAGGACCUCUGGGCUCUCUCCACUUGUACUCCAUCAGUCUUCAUCAGUUGAGGAUAUUCUUUUUUAGGGAUCAGUUUUGAAAUGAAGAGGAACCCCCAGACGUGGAACAAAACCAAUCUCAUUAGUUGUAUUCCACCAGAAAGCUUCAACAAAAUUGCUUGUAAACCAC